GCUCAUCUAGCCAGGCUGCAUGCUGCUUCUAAAUUUGGGUCUGCCUGUUGUCUUGUCCUGCUGCCCUGUGUCCUGUUCCCUCUGGUUCCACAGCUACAGGGGAAGACAAUUGAAUGCCUGCAAUGGCUUGGUCUUUACUCUGGUUUUGAAGAUGCUGCAGUUUAAUGUUUAUGACUGCAUGAAUCAACAAGAUAGAUAAAUAUUUUUCUACCAUGAUGGGAUGAGAGAAAGAUGGAAAGAACAACAUGUGACAGAUGCAAGUUCACUUCAUGUGUUACCGGGAGGAUUCAUAUUCUUCAGUCAGAAAAGCAGGCCAAGAGGACGCAGUGAUGGAAGUGGACCCUUGACCUCCAUGCACAAGACAAGACCAGCACCAGCCUCCUGCAGAGCAGUACUCUCCUUUUCCUUCACUCAACACCAUCAGGAACAGAGGCAGCUUCUUGGAAAGAGUGGGUGCUGCUUUUGCUACUUUGAAUACCCUGUGUCCACGAUGAUGAGCCUUUUCAUGUCACAGAUUCAUUUUCUCUACUUAGUUUCAAAAACCAUUUAAGAUCUGUAUGCAAAUUGAAAGUCACAACAUUUUUGAAAGAAAGUGCUAAAAAUAAAAUGCAAAUAUACCUCAGUACUAUCUGUAACUUGGAAAGAAAGAAGAGAGCAGCUCCUACUGGUUGAAAUGAGUGUAGAACAAAGCACAGACAAAGCUUUGUCUGCCACAUGGCUCCCAGAAAUCAGUCAAUGCAAUAGAUGAGAGAGAGAGCGACAGAUAUUAAACAGGGCAUUCUGGGUUUAGUUACAGAAGCUUCAUAGGUGAGGGAACUUAUGGACUAUGAAGCCAAAUGACAGUGUACAUAUGCUCAUCUGGUCUCCUUUAUAGAAGCUAGGCUGCAGUAGCAAAGAAUACAGCAACCUGGAGUACUUUGGAGAGGUUUUUUUUGUUUGUUUUUAAACUGUAAUUUAAGUUUUGUUAGCUUUUUAAAAUUAUCAUUAAUGAUAUUAAAAAAGUAAUAGAUACGUGUAACUCCAAAUGGCAACAAAGGAGUAGGGAUUCUAUCUGGCAUGCAGACAGUUAGCAACAAUAGUUUAUAAAUUAUGAAGUUGAGGGUGUCUUACAAGGACGUUACUGAAAUUACAGCCACAGGUUUUCAGCAAAUUGAAAGACACAAAUAACUUCAGAAGAAAGGAAUGUACAUCAUCAGCAGCAGAAAAUAAUUCAGUGUGCAAAC